UACGGGGGGGGUAAGCGUUGUUCGGAAUUACUGGGCGUAAAGGGUGCGUAGGCGGCAGCGCAAGUCAGGUGUGAAAUCCCGGGGCUCAACCCCGGAACUGCACUUGAUACUGCGUUGCUAGAGUACUGGAGAGGAGACUGGAAUUUACGGUGUAGCAGUGAAAUGCGUAGAUAUCGGGAGGAACACCUGUGGCGAAAGCGGCGCACUGGACCACAACUGACGCUGAGGCGCGAAAGCUAGGGGAGCAAACAGG
rnacentral:rRNA from 1 species